UACGUAGGGGGCAAGCGUUACCCGGAUUCACUGGGCGUAAAGCGGGUGUAGGCGGCUCGGUAAGUCGGGGGUGAAAUCCCACGGCUCAACCGUGGAAUUGGGCCCGAAACUGCUGAGCUUGGGGCCGGUAGAGGGAGACGGACUUGCCGGUGUACGGGUGAAAUCCGUAGAUAGCGCCAGGAACGCCGGUGGGGAAGCCGGUCUCCUGGGCCGCGCCCGACGCUGAGGCCCGAAAGCUAGGGGAGCAAACCGG
rnacentral:rRNA from 1 species